rnacentral:rRNA from 1 species
CCUACGGGUGGCAGCAGUGGGGAAUAUCGCACAAUGGGCGCAAGCCUGAUGCAGCCAUGCCGCGUGUGUGAAGAAGGCCUUCGGGUUGUAAAGCACUUUCAGCGGGGUGGAAGGCGUUAAGGUUAAUAACCUUGGCGAUUGACGUUACCCGCAGAAGAAGCACCGGCUAACUCCGUGCCAGCAGCCGCGGUAAUACGGAGGGUGCAAGCGUUAAUCGGAAUUACUGGGCGUAAAGCGCACGCAGGCGGUCUGUCAAGUCGGAUGUGAAAUCCCCGGGCUCAACCUGGGAACUGCAUUCGAAACUGGCAGGCUAGAGUCUUGUAGAGGGGGGUAGAAUUCCAGGUGUAGCGGUGAAAUGCGUAGAGAUCUGGAGGAAUACCGGUGGCGAAGGCGGCCCCCUGGACAAAGACUGACGCUCAGGUGCGAAAGCGUGGGGAGCAAACAGGAUUAGAUACCCUAGUAGUC